rnacentral:misc_RNA from 1 species
AGUGGCAAGGCUAGAAGUUCAAGGACAAAUCGAGGGGAGAUCUCCUCCAAUGUCUCAUCAAUUUGUGCCUGUAAAUCUGGUGCUAGGCUGCUAGCCCCUUCGUCCUACAUCCAUGAAAAAAAUAUUAAAAGCAGUAGCACAUUGGCAUAACAGCAACAACAUAAAAGUGAUGAAGCCUAAAUGGAAUUCAAAAGAGAUUUUCCAUAAAUUAAAAUACUGCAUAGGCUCAUGCAGUAUAACUGCAUGCAUAUUUUAAAUCCAGUUUCCAAUUAUUUCAAAGUGAUGUGAAGAUAAUUGUUAAUUAGUGCAUUACUAAGCGAUUCCAUGCAUUUGUAAAGCAACGCAGCAAUGUAAUGUUUGUUUGGCUCUAAUUAUGUGACAAUAUGACAUAAUCUGGCAAUAAAAUAAACUAUUCUAUCAUUUCUAGCGACAUUAUAUGUAAAAAUAAUCCAGCUAGAAGAAAGCGCAUAUUCCUUUUUCAUUUCUUUUCUGUUUGUGGUAUACUUCUUCCUCUUCUUUUCUGCUUUCACCAUUCAUUAGCGAAACAAAUAAAAUAGAAAGUCUUCAUUACUACAUCAAAAUUGAAAAAUGAAAUGUUAAUGUAUUUCAAUA